UAUCAUGAUAGAGGUGCGGAUUUCAUCAGUACUCUGCGGCAAAAGGCUCGGGAGCCGCCGGAGGGAAAAGGGGAAGCCGCCGAAGGAAUCCAUCAGCGUCCCGGAGCAAGGAUUCCUGGGCUGCUGCAGAAGAUGCAGCAGACUGUCACAGGGCUGUGGAGAGCUAUCAUUGGC
rfam:Lachnoclostridium sp. An131 An131_contig_16, whole genome shotgun sequence.